AGUUGGUGAAAACGACCCAGAGUUUCUGCCAACCGUUACUGUUCUUGAACUUCCUCAGGAGGUAACCCGAGAGCUGGUUCUACAGAGGAAAGAGGAGAAAGGAACAAGAUCAGGAGCAGAAAGGGAGAACAAAUGUAAAACGUCUGGAGUCACAGCGAGACCUGGGAAAGAGCCUCUACUGAAGCAGCUAUGUGUCUGGAGGUAAACUGUGGUGGGGUCGUCUUAUCUUUCAUAUCCUAAUGAUAUCCAUGUGCAAGUCAAAACACACAUCACUGUGCCCUGCUGAUAGUUCACCCUUGUAUUUAUUUGUAUAGAAUUAUGAGUAGUUAUGACAGGCAGAGGCCGACAUGUCUGUGUGUCUUGAGUAAACACUGUAUAUUUAAUUUUUAAAAAAAUGGAUGUAGCCAUUAAGACAUCACCCAUUGAUUUGUGAUCAUUUUGGCAGUCACCACCUCAGUGUUUUGAACCUGUACAGAUGAUGGAGGGGUGGUACUGACUGAGAAACCAGCAGAAACUUGUCCAUCACAAAGUAGUCACACUGAAUUAUUCUUCAAGUCUCAGUUAAAGUAAAAUAGCUGAUAAUUUAGUAAACAUGUGUAUUAGGUACACGGGAGUGUGUAAUGCUGUCAUAAGUGAGAAGCAGGCUCAUUUUCUCAGAUUUCUAUGCAGCAUUACUUCUUUUUAGAAUCAGAAUCACUGCCCCCUGCUGGCCAUUAGAAAGAAUGCAAGUUUAGGCUUUAAACAUUUGCUUCAUGUUUCAAAAGCUGAGGCUAUUUCCAUUUCUUUUUAUAUGCAGUCUACUGUCUUAAGAUGAGCUUUUCGCUUCGUCUACACGGGCAUGGGAGGAAAGAAGGGUCUGGUUUGGGCAUCCAAGCUGGCAGAGCUCAGAGGACUUACCGGUGCAUCCAACACUAUGAGCUGCAGCCAGGAGCAAAGCAGAGACAUGUAAAGUUAGGAGACCCUCACCCUCCCUUCUCAACACUUUGUGUGUCAGAAGAAUUGGAGUACCCGAUUAUGAGAUGUUAGCUUUUGUGUAAACCUAACUACAGAGUCUUACUGGGAGCUUUAAUGGUUAAAACAGGAUGGCAGAGGUUAAGAGAAGAGACUGCAGACUCACUAUCAUGCCAUGAAGGGGCAGCUGUCCAUGGACUUUGAACUGAUUGGUUGCUGUAACACCUUUGCUUGUGUAAAGGAGCAUGUCAGAGAACUGAAAAGACAUGAAGGCAAAGAUUAAAAAGUGCUAACAAUGAUUAGAAGCUUUAGACGUUAAGUGGAAGUAGAUUUUGUUUUUAACUAACCAGGAAAAACAUCCUCUGCUGUAGCCCCUUUUUGGUGAGCUUGUACAAGCACCCCUCUCGAAUGAACUCCUAUAAAAAAAAAAAUAAAA